GCUUCUUUAGUCAAUUUUCUUCAACAAACCAAAGGAAAGGAGAGCUUCUUCAAUCAAUUUUGUUUCUGCUUUACUUUCCUUGUCCGCAUGUUUGAGCUUGGUAACUCUUUUGUUCAGACACAUAAAAUAUGGCUGAAAAGUUAAAGAAAAGCUACUUUGAGGUGUUGGGUUUGUGCUGUGCAUCAGAGGUAGCAUUGGUUGAGAGGAUUCUGAAGCAGCUCAAUGGAGUCCAAGAAAUUUCUGUAAUCCUACCCACAAAAACAGUUGCUGUCCACCACACUCAUGUCAUCUCUGACGUUACCAUUGUUGAGGCACUCAAUAAGGUAAGGCUGGAAGCUACUAUUAGGCCACAGGAACAAAGCAACUUCCAGAACAAAUGGCCAGCCCCAAGUACAAUGUUCAGUGGCUUAUUACUUGCACUUUCCUUUUUGAAGUACGUUUAUCAUCCAUUGGAAUGGUUGGCUCUUGGUGCGGUUAUUGUUGGCCUUCCUACACUCAUAUUGAGAAGCAUAGCAUCCAUCCGAAAUCUUAUUAUUAAUAUCAACAUUCUUGUUCUGAUGGCAGUGAUAGGGACACUUGCUUUACAAGAUUAUUGGGAAGCUGGUACCGUUGUCUUUCUGUUCUCCAUUGCUCAGUGGCUUGAAACAAGAGCAAGUUACAAGGCUAUGGCUACGAUGUCAUCUUUAACAAGCAUGGCUCCUCAAAAAGCCAUAAUAGCUGAAACUGGAGAACAUGUUGAUGUCAAUGCUGUUGAGAUGAACUUGCAGUCAAAGCCGGCGAUGUUAUUCCAAUUGAUGGUAUUGUUGUUGAAGGGAAAUGUGAAGUUGAUGAAAAAAUGCUGACUGGAGAAUCAUUUCCUGUCACCAAAGAACUGGACUCAACUGUUUGGGCAGGCACUAUUAACCUAAAUGGUUAUAUUAGUGUAAAAACUACAGCUUUAGCAAAAGACUCUUUUGUCUCAGGAAUGGCAAAGCUAGUAGAGGAGUCGCACAACAAGAAGUCCAGAGCUCAAAGAUUCAUUGACAAUUGUGCAAAGUACUAUAUUCCUGUGGUUAUGUUAAUAGCAGUUGCUUUUGCUGUGAUUCCGGCUGCACUGAGACUUCCUAACGAAGAUUACUGGUUUCAUUUGGCAAUAGUAGUGCUUGUAAGCACAUGUCCAUGUGCACUUAUCCUCUCUACACCUGUUGUAAAUUUCUGUGCACUUUCAAAGGCUGCAACAACUGGACUUCUAGUCAAAGGUGGAGAUUAUCUUGAGAUUCUUGCAAAGGUUAAGACUGUUGCUUUCGACAAAACUGGGACAAUAACAAGAGGAGAAUUUGUGGUGACUAAUUUUCAAGUAAUCAGUGAUGAUGUUAGCCUGAACGCCUUACUCUACUGGGUUUCAAGCACUGAGAGUAAAUCAAUUCAUCCAAUGGCAGCUGCACUUGUUGAGUACGGAAGACUACAUUCAAUUGAACCAAAGUUCGAAAAUGUGGAAGACUUUCAAAAUUUUCCUGGUGAAGGAGUUUCUGGGAAGAUUGAUGGGAAAGAUAUCUAUAUUGGAAACCGGAGAAUUCGUUUGAGAGCUGGGUGUGCAGCAGAAAUAGAAUUUCAAAACAUGGAAGGAAAAACAAAUGGACAUAUAUACUGUGGAGCAACUCUAGUUGGAACAUUCAGCCUCUCUGAUACUUGUCGAUCAGGGGCCAUGGAGGCAGUUGAAGAGAUUAAAUCAUUGGGGAUCAAAUGUGUCAUGCUUACAGGUGAUAAUCAUGCAGCAGCCAUGCUUGCACAAGAUCAGCUAGGCCAUGCUCUAGAUGUUGUCCACGCAGAGCUUCUACCUGAAGACAAGGCACGAAUAAUUGAGGUAUAUAAGAAAGAAGGACCAACAGUGAUGAUUGGGGAUGGCAUUAAUGAUGCUCUUGCAUUAGCCGCAGCUGAUAUUGGCAUCUCAAUGGGAAUUUCAGGAUCAGCACUUGCAAAGGAGACAGGGCAUGUGAUUCUCAUGUCAAAUAACAUUCAGAAGAUACCAUUAGCCAUCAAACUUGCGAGAAGGACAUUAAGGAAACUCAUUGAGAAUGUCAUUGUAUCCAUCACAACUAAGGGUGCCAUCUUAGCAUUGGCCUUCGCAGGUUAUCCACUUAUUUGGGCAUCAGUUCUCACAGAUGUUGGGACAUGCUUGGUCGUAAUUUUCAACAGCAUGUUACUGUUGCAAGAGACACCAAAACUUCAAGGAGGGCAUUCCAGAUCAAGAUGUGGAACUUUCUCCAUGCCUUCUUUAUUUGGGAAAGGCAAAAGCAUAAAUCCUGUUGAUGGGCAAGGUGGUUAUAAUGGAGAUUAUGGGGACUAUGAGGCAAUAAAAUGCAAUGAUGGAUGCUGUGAGAAACUCAUUCAUGAAGUGGAAUCCCCAAGUGGUAAAGGUUGUUCUAAUUGUACAGAAGCUAGUUGCAAGGACAAGAAGUUUGCUAACAUACCACAAAGCAGUAGUAGUAGUAGUAGCAGCGUUUGUUGUCUACAAAAAUGUGAAGCUCAAUCUCAAAGCAAAAAAUGUGGUACAACACAUGGUGCAACCAUCAAUAAUGCCUGUGGCUGUAGUACUGCUGGCCUUCUGGAAUCUAUAGUAAAUAAUGCUUCUAAGAUUUCAGACAAUAGAGAGAUAAGAGGGUGUUGCAAGCAAUUUGCGGAGCAAUGUUGUGGUAAGCCUGAGCAAUACACAACUAAUAGGUUAUCAGAAAUUGUGAUUGAGUAGAUGCUACUUCAGUUUCUUGUAUCCGUUGAAAUAAUAGUUGAAUAUUUUAA